rnacentral:rRNA from 1 species
UACAGGGGGGGCAAGCGUUGUUCGGAAUUACUGGGCGUAAAGGGCUCGUAGGCGGCCAACUAAGUCACACGUGAAAUCCCCAGGCUUAACCUGGGAACUGCGUGUGAUACUGGAUGGCUUGAAUUCGGGAGAGGGAUGCAGAAUUCCAGGUGUAGCGGUGAAAUGCGUAGAUAUCUGGAGGAAUACCGGUGGCGAAGGCGGCAUCCUGGACCGAGAUUGACGCUGAUGAGCGAAAGCUAGGGGAGCAAACGGG